rnacentral:rRNA from 1 species
CAAGCGUUAUCCGGAUUUACUGGGUUUAAAGGGUGCGUAGGUGGAUUGGUGAGUCAGUGGUGAAAUACUUUCGCUUAACGAAGGAACUGCCAUUGAUACUACCAGUCUUGAAUACAGUGGAGGUGGGCGGAAUGCGUCAUGUAGCGGUGAAAUGCUUAGAUAUGACGCAGAACACCAAUUGCGAAGGCAGCUUGCUACACUGUUAUUGACACUGAGGCACGAAAGCGUGGGGAUCAAGCAGG